AUACGGAGGAUGCAAGCGUUAUCCGGAUUUAUUGGGUUUAAAGGGUGCGUAGGCGGGACUGUAAGUCAGGGGUGAAAUACUGCAGCUUAACUGUAGCAUUGCCUUUGAAACUGCCGUUCUUGAGUCCAGUUGAGGUAGGCGGAAUGUGGUGUGUAGCGGUGAAAUGCAUAGAUAUACCACAGAACGCCGAUUGCGAAGGCAGCUUACUAAGCUGUUACUGACGCUGAGGCACGAAAGCGUGGGGAUCAAACAGGAUUAGAUACCCUGGUAGUCCACGCUGUAAACGAUGAUUACUGGUUGUUAGCGAUAUAUAGCUAGUGACUGAGCGAAAGCAUUAAGUAAUCCACCCGGGGAGUACGUCGGCAACGAUGAAACUCAAAGGAAUUGACGGGG
rnacentral:rRNA from 1 species